rnacentral:lncRNA from 1 species
UUAGUACUUGUUUUCUUGUAUUCAUGAAAUUACAAUGCGUUUGGUUCAUCUCGGGGUAUCCGCUCACUGUGUUCUUUGGAAGAUGAAAAUGUACCUCAUGUAAUGUGACAUCAGCCUGUAACUGAUUCCUGCUAUCCUCUGAUUUUUUUUCACUUCUUUGAUUUUUUUGUUUUGCCUUUUGUUAUCUGCUUUUACUUGUGAGCUGCAGGACU